UACGUAGGUGGCAAGCGUUGUCCGGAUUUACUGGGCGUAAAGAGCGCGCAGGCGGUCGUUCAAGUCGCGUGUGAAAGCCCCCGGCUCAACUGGGAGGGUCACGCGAUACUGAUCGACUCGAAGGCAGGAGAGGGUAGUGGAAUUCCCGGUGUAGUGGUGAAAUGCGUAGAUAUCGGGAGGAACAUCAGUGGCGAAGGCGGCUACCUGGCCCAAUACUGACACUCAGGUGCGACAGCGUGGGGAGCAAACAGGG
rnacentral:rRNA from 1 species